AUACGUAGGUGGCAAGCGUUGUCCGGAUUUACUGGGCGUAAAGAGUAUGUAGGCGGUAUAUUUAAGUCAGAUAGUGGAAAUUCCCGGGCUUAACCUGGGAGCUGCAUUUGAUACUGGAUAUCUAGAGUGCGGGAGAGGAAAGUGGAAUUCCUAGUGUAGCGGUGAAAUGCGUAGAGAUUAGGAAGAACACCAGUGGCGAAGGCGACUUUCUGGACCGUAACUGACGCUGAGGCUCGAAAGCGUGGGGAGC
rnacentral:rRNA from 1 species